UACGAAGGGGGCUAGCGUUGUUCGGAAUUACUGGGCGUAAAGCGCACGUAGGCGGACAUUUAAGUCAGGGGUGAAAUCCCAGAGCUCAACUCUGGAACUGCCUUUGAUACUGGGUGUCUUGAGUAUGGAAGAGGUGAGUGGAAUUCCGAGUGUAGAGGUGAAAUUCGUAGAUAUUCGGAGGAACACCAGUGGCGAAGGCGGCUCACUGGUCCAUUACUGACGCUCAGGCACGAAAGCGUGGGGAGCAAAAGGG
rnacentral:rRNA from 1 species